UGUUUGAUCCUGGCUCAGAACGAACGCUGGCGGCGGGCCUAAUACAUGCAAGUCGAACGAGAAAAUCCGGCUUCGGCUGGGUGAGUAAAGUGGCGAACGGGUGAGUAACACGUGGGCAAUCUGCCCUUAAGUUUGGGAUAAGCCCUCGAAAGGGGGUCUAAUACCGGAUAAUAUCCGGAGAUGGCAUCUUUUCCGGAUCAAAGGCGGAGCAAUCUGCCGCUUAGGGAUGAGCCCGCGUCCCAUUAGCUUGUUGGUGAGGUAACGGCUCACCAAGGCUGUGAUGGGUAGCCGGCCUGAGAGGGUGAUCGGCCACACUGGGACUGAGAUACGGCCCAGACUCCUACGGGAGGCAGCAGUAGGGAAUAUUGCGCAAUGGACGAAAGUCUGACGCAGCCACGCCGCGUGGAUGAUGAAGCUUUUCGGAGUGUAAAAUCCUGUCAGUGGGGAAGAACCGGUCGGGGAGUAACUGCCCCGGCCCUGACGUACCCGCAGAG
rnacentral:rRNA from 1 species